AAAAUCCGUCGAUUUCAAAAAUCGUGAGGGUUCCCCC
rnacentral:tRNA from 1 species